ACCACAUGUGGGCCCAAAUCAAACCCUUGUCCUCAGGCCUCUGCUGGCACUUCUCCCAGAUCGCCCACCUUCCUCCUCCAGCUCCGCAGCCCGGCCACCCUCCUCACCCCUGCCCCCGCCAUUCCUCUUUGUGGACAACUUUCUAAAUGCAGCCAAACUUCCCCUUUCAGUCCACAGCCCCCAGAAAACAGCUGCAAAAAGUCAGCGGCUCGGCAAGUUCUCUUGCAAAGUUUGGCCGAGAGUAACAGCCACUCGUUCUAGCCAUUGCCACCCUCUCCCAGGCUCAGAAGGCCAGUCUCCCCCUCCAGGAAACAGUGAGAAGCCCCCGCUCCAGUACUGCUCCCGGGGUCACAGUCUCCCCAGCAAUCUAAUCUAGAGAGAACUCCUGAAAGGGGCCCGGCUGAGGGUAGCUGGGGGAAGUUGACCGCCCGAAACCUGACGGGUUUCCUGACCUUGCCCAAGCCCUCUGUGACCCUGGGCACCUCACUUACUCCCCCCACCACUGCCCCCCCACACCCAGGCACAGGCCUCUCCUUUGGAGAACAAGGGAUGGAUACAUUGGUUGAUUUUCCAGGCCCCUUCCAAGUCUGAAAUUCCACACAUGGGUCGUUUCUCCCUAGGGUGCCCAGGGAUGGGAGAGAAGCUGUGCCCAGGGACACCCGUCUCACUGAGGGUGGUCUGACCAGGCCUCCGAAAAUGCAUUCUUCGUCCUCUCGGUGACAGUCGGCCCCCUGUAAAAGAGAGGCUCUCACGCCCGAGUAUGAUCAGAAUCACCUGGGAAAACCACACCAUCUCCGACCCCAGCUACACUCCGGACCAAAGAAACCAGAAUCUCAGCUCAGGGCCUGGUCCUUAGUCUGUUUGGAAGGUUACUCAGGUGAUUCUGAAUGAGCAGAAAGAGUUCAGAACCAUUGUGGAAAAGGCAUCUAGAAACGAAAGAGGAAGCUGUAAGCCAGAGAUGCCACAUCUGGGUGCCACCUUCUCUGCUGAGAAGCUCUUGAGGCCAGUGGGAUGGACUCCAAAACUGAGAAAGGAGGGAAGCAAGGAAAGGAGGGAUCUGCCUACAGAUGGAUUCAGAGCCUCAUCACUUCUCCCCGCGCCCCACGCGCUGCUACUGCCACCAUCUCUGCCUGGAUUGUUUACAUUGGGGUCCUGGAAUUCCUCUGUGGCACAGCAGGUUGAGGAUCCAGCAUUGUCACUGCAGCAGCCCAGGUUGCUGCUGUGGUGUGGGUUCGAUCUCUGGCCUGGGAACUUCCUAAUGCCAUCGGUGAGGCAAUUUAAAAAAAAAACACACAAUUCGGCCCUGAACGCGGUGGGCCAGCUCUACCACAGGACCUUUGUACCUGCUGCUCCCUUUGCCCUUCCACAAGUGUCCUCAUAUGUCAGCAUCUGUCUUUGCUCAAAUGUCCCUUCUCAACAAGGCUUGGCACUAAACUCAUUGUCUCCUCUUCCUAGGCACCCGUUUGGAGGAUGUUUCCAGCUCCUUUGCCAUUGAGCUGGUAGAGCAUGAGAAGAAGCAACCUGUAUCUCUUCUGAGCUGAGGAUGUUGAGAAGCAGAUGUGCCCCAUCCACCUCUCCGCCCCCUGCCUUGACCUCUUGCUCUAGAAGAUGGCACAGCCGCAGAUGGAAAGAGCCAGGGGGCCUCUCCACCCAGAGGCAGGCCACCUGCCAAUCAGAGCGCCCAUCCUGGACUUUGUGUGAAUGGAAAACAAACUUUGUGAGGACACUACAUUUUGGAAGUUGGCUGUUUGGUAUUUCACUUCCUGCCCUUCUAAGGACUCGGGGCCUACCCUCACACCAACACGCCUCUGUCCCCUCCCCCAACUGCAUUUCCUGCCGGAACUUUGUCCCCUCUUCCCACCUCACACCAGGCCUGUGAUGGUGACUGAGCAGCUGAUAAAUGGAUCAUGGCAGCUCUCAGGAUCUGCAAACCGAUGUUCAGGGCAGCCUGGCAGAAAGGCAAUGUCCUUCCCAUGACCUCUCUGUGAGCCUGCUUCCAACAAUGUGGGACUUUGGAUGAGACUCAGCUUCCGCAUCCUUAAAAUGGGGACAGUAAGGGAAUGGAUAAGCAAGGGGAUCCUGCUGCAUAGCACUGGGAACUAUGGUCCCUUGUGAUGGAGCAUGAUAAUGUGAGAAAAAAGAAUGCAUACAUGUAUGUGUGACAGGGUCACCUGGCUGUGCAGCAAAAAGUUGACAGAACACUGUAAAUCAGCAAAAAUGGAAAAAAUAAAAAUCAUAAAAAUAAAUCAAUAAAAGCUAGGGAUACAGUCUGGAGGUAAUAGUGAACAGUCGUGCUGCCACCCACGAGGGAGACGUGUGGAUUACUGAAUCCAUAUUCUUCACCACUGCUGAUCUAACUAACCAAAGCCCCUAAGGAUAGGAUGGUAGAUUGUCCAGGAUGUGGAGCUAGUUCUUUGUUCC
ensembl:lncRNA